rnacentral:rRNA from 1 species
GAAUCUGAGAGUUUGAUCCUGGCUCAGGACGAACGCUGGCGGCGCGCUUAACACAUGCAAGUCGAACGGUCCCUUCGGGGAUAGUGGCGCACGGGUGAGUAACGCGUGGGAACCUGCCCUGAGGUACGGGACAACAGAGGGAAACUUCUGCUAAUACCGUAUGAGCCCGGAAACGGGGAAAGAUUUAUCGCCUUGGGAGGGGCCCGCGUUGGAUUAGCUAGUUGGUGGGGUAACGGCCUACCAAGGCAUCGAUCCAUAGCUGGUCUGAGAGGAUGAUCA